rnacentral:rRNA from 1 species
UACGUAGGGUGCGAGCGUUGUCCGGAAUUACUGGGCGUAAAGAGCUCGUAGGCGGUUUGUUGCGUCUAUCGUGAAAACCUGCGGCUUAACUGUGGGCUUGCGGUGGAUACGGGCAGACUUGAGUUCGGUAGGGGAGACUGGAAUUCCUGGUGUAGCGGUGAAAUGCGCAGAUAUCAGGAGGAACACCGGUGGCGAAGGCGGGUCUCUGGGCCGAUACUGACGCUGAGGAGCGAAAGCGUGGGGAGCGAACAGG